GACGGGGCUUGCCCUGUCUGAUCAGUGGCGAACGGGUGAGUAACACGUGAGUAACCUGCCCUUGACUCUGGGAUAACCGCGGGAAACGGCGGCUAAUACCGGAUAUGAGACGUACAGGCAUCUGUUGCGUCUGGAAAGAUUUAUCGGUCAAGGAUGGGCUCGCGGCCUAUCAGCUUGUUGGUGGGGUGAUGGCUUACCAAGGCGACGACGGGUAGCCGGCCUGAGAGGGCGACCGGCCACACUGGGACUGAGACACGGCCCAGACUCCUACGGGAGGCAGCAGUGGGGAAUAUUGCACAAUGGGCGCAAGCCUGAUGCAGCGACGCCGCGUGAGGGAUGAAGGCCUUCGGGUUGUAAACCUCUUUCAGCAGGGAAGAAGCGAAAGUGACGGUACCUGCAGAAGAAGCGCCGGCUAACUACGUGCCAGC
rnacentral:rRNA from 1 species